AAAGUACUCCCUCCGUCCGGAAAUACUUGUCGUAGAAAUGGAUGAAAAUAGAUGCAUCUAUAACAAAAAUACGUCUAGAUACAUCCAUCUCUUCAACUAGUAUUUCUGGACGGAAGGAGUAGUAU
rfam:Triticum aestivum genome assembly, contig: Triticum_aestivum_CS42_TGACv1_scaffold_221560_3B